UCCGGUAUUUAUAUUGGAGUUAAAUUUAGAUUCGCUUUGGAAAGUUUUAUAUUAGAGAGUAAAGUGCUCCUUAAGACGACUCGAAUUCAACACCUCUAACUAAGAAUGAAGAAAUAUUUAUCACUCCAUCAUAAUCUCGUAAUGCUCGGUAUUUUCAUAAAUCUAUUGAGAGAGAGAGAGAGUUUCAUGCCCACAGAUUACUUUGAAUUGACAUAACUC
rnacentral:lncRNA from 1 species